UGAUAUUUGUUCAGGAAUUCACCCAUCUGU
rnacentral:piRNA from 2 species